rnacentral:rRNA from 1 species
GAGACUCUGUGCGCGUGCAUAUCAAUAAGCGGAGGAAAAGGAACUAACAAGGAUUCCCCUAGUAACGGCGAGUGAAGCGGGAAGAGCUCAAAUUUGAAAUCUUAAAGGGUUUCCCUUUACGAAUUGUAGUUUAAAGAAGUGUUUUCUGUUGGAGUUUCGGUAAAAGUUCUUUGGAAUAGGACAUCAUAGAGGGUGAGAAUCCCGUAUUUGAUCGUUACUUUCCAGCUGUGUGAUACACUUUCAAAGAGUCGGAUUGUUUGGGAAUGCAGUCCAAAAUGGGUGGUAAAUUUCAUCUAAAGCUAAAUAUUGGCGAGAGACCGAUAGCGAACAAGUACCGUGAGGGAAAGAUGAAAAGAACUUUGAAAAGAGAGUUAAACAGUACGUGAAAUUGUCAAAAGGGAAGCGUUUGACACCAGUGUUGUUUAGUUGAAAAUCAAUUACGAAUGUUUUAUUUUUGAGGAGUUAUGACUUCAUCGGCUUGCUCCUUUCUUUAUGAAACUUUCUUAAUGCACUUUUCGGUUAACAAGUCAACAUCAAUUUCUUUUGUUGUAAAAGGGUAUGAGGAAGGUGGCUUUCUUUUCGGAGAAAGUGUUUAUAGCCUUGUGCCUCUGCAAUCGGAGAGAUUGAGGUCUGCAGCGUAGAUCCUUCGGGGUUAGAUACAGUUUGUGCUAAGUUAUAGCUUUUCAUAGACAACUUGUUGACUAUGUUUAGUCUUGUAGCUCACUCGCUUACGCUAUUUUACCUACGCUUAGGAUGUUGACAGCAGUAUAGACUG